GUGAGUCAUCGAAUCUUUGAACGCACAUUGCGCCCGCCAGUAUUCUGGCGGGCAUGCCUGUUCGAGCGUCAUUUCAACCCUCAAGCUCUGCUUGGUGUUGGGGAUCGGCAGCCCGGCUUCACGCCGCGCCGUCCCCCAAAUGUAGUGGCGGUCACGCUGCAGCUUCCUAUGCGUAGUAGUACACCUCGCACUGGAGAGCGGCGCGGCCAUGCCGUAAAACCCCCUACUUUUUUAUGGUUGACCUCGAAUCAGGUAGGACUACCCGCUGAACUUAAGCAUAUCAAUAAGCGGAGGA
rnacentral:misc_RNA from 1 species